ACCUACCUGUAAACGGAGACCGCCAAAGGUCUCUCGUGCCACCCACGCCUCUAGAGAAAACAAGCGAACACGAGGAGGUAUUCCAAACCCUAAACCCUAGUUCCGUGAGGCUCGCCGAAACCCUAACCCUACCACCAUGAUUUACGAUGUCAACUCCCCUCUCUUCCGCUCCUUCCUCAGCCAGAAGGGCGCCGCCGCCUCCGAGAAGCGGAGAAUUGAAGAGCAGAAGCCAAAGGAGCAGAAGCCGAAGGCAAGUGAGAACAAGCCUGUGAUGAUGGAAUGAUGGUAAUUUGAGCAAAUGAGAGUGUACUGCAUUGGAACACUUCAUCAAACAAGGACUGUAUUGCUUAUCUUGGCUUAUAUUUGCCAGAUUGGAUUUUGAUGUGUGUACCUCAUUUAUCUGGACCAGUCUUGAAAGUUCAUUGUAGAAAGAUAGAGGUGGAGUGCUUCACCAGGAUGUUAUAGGAAGCCAUCACAAUGAAGAAUAACCAGAAAAAAUGCAACACUGCUGCUACCAGUGAUCCAUGUCUUAAUUCGACAUUUAGAAAUUUUUGCUUUCAACAUUAUAUCUUGAUCAGAGAAAAUUAUACCAAAUCUGGCCUGAUGAGGCAAUGUAAUCUCAUUUUUAUGAACAAAAAUUAGCCAUACUGGUUCAGAGGGGUGGGCCCAACCUGAGGCAAUAAUAAAUUUCUAGAAGAUCUAACACCAUCUAAAAGUAUCUAGUAUCUCAUUCUUGCAUCAUUCUAGGCCUAAAUUUGGGCCAAUUGCCCUUGUGCAUCUUGCCUGGUUUCCCUUCUGCAUCAUGACAGAUAUGUAGCUGCAUGCCCCAAAGCUUAUAGCCUUCGCUAGAAAGAGCAGUUCUAUCCAAACCCUUCUCAGUUUGUCUCUGCUAUUUUGACAAGGAUCGCAGUGACAGAUCCUGCACUUGGAGGUUUGAAAGAUCUUGAAGUUUUUAUUUUAUUGCAAACAUAUGCUUCCGAUGCAAUGAAUAUACUGCACACGAUAUUAUCAUCGGUAAUAUGAUGAGAAACAGAGACCUUCAUAAUUUUCUUAAUGUUAGUUUUCUUCAUUUGAUACGCACAAUUAUGGUUUGCAUUCUGUAUAAGUUCCUCCUCUCAAGAUGUGUGCUGCUAUUAGGAACCAAGAAGUUAGUAACAAAACUAUUUUUUUCGAGAAAAGGAGGGCUGGUCCACCUGAGUUCUCCAUAGAGUUAGUGGGAGUACAUAUAAGAUAAAGAUGACAAAAUAGGAGCUAUCAGUGACAUAAGAUACCCUACACAUAACGUUACAUUAGGCGUUAGAUGGUAGUAGAUGGUUGAAAGAUGACAAACAGAAUCUAAGUAUAUGUAAUUGGUUAUAUAUUACCAAGAUUCCUAGAUCCUGAACUCAACAAUUUAGCUGCAGAGAGCAUCUCGUCACGACUGCUGUUCAAAUGCCAAUCAUUUAAGAGGGUCAUUUUCAACUGUUUCCUGAAUUAAUGUCUAACUAGAAACAUAAAGUUCUCUUUCUACAUAUUGACGCAAGAGCAAGGAUACGUACAGAUCUUACAAAUGUGGCAAUAAGAAUCCAAGAAUGAAAAGUCAUCAAGAAAAUAUUUGGUAGUAACCGGAAGAAAAAAAAAGCAUCCGUAGCUUUCGUCCAAGGGUCAAGUCUCCAGCGAAAAUUGUACAGGCGGACAGUCCUUCAAGGAAUCUAUGCUUUAAGACCACACCAUGGUCCUUGGAAAAUCACCAAGUGAAGUUUACCCCAGCGUGAACUAUUGUUUGACAGUUUUUUUCCAACUGAACAAAGCUGAAUUCCUUCAUUCUUCUGAAUAGUCAUAACCAGGUUCUUUCUUUGUGCCCCAAAAAUCUGGUCAGAAUCGGUGCCGGAUUCGUCUCCGCGUUACAAAACUUUCAUGGACCGUCACGUGAGCGUUUGAAUUCAAAAAUAUGUGCCUUGAAGUGUUAAUUGGCAGAAGAUAACUUGACCAAAGAAUGGGAAGAGUCUUUGCUCGUUCACAAUUCCUACGAGUUGCUCAAAGCUGGAAGAGAUUCUGUGGUUGGACUGGUACCCAUAUCUUUUGUCUUGUGAAGAAGGAAAGUUCCUGAAAGAAUGGUAACGAACCCACAUAUCUCGGUCACAAUCUGUGAUGCAUUCUGUGAGUUCCAGUCCUGGUUCGUAACACAGUAAAUCAGGAAGCAGAAAAAUGGAAGCAAGAUUAACAUACUAUGAAAACAUUCAGCUUUAGUAAAUGACAGUUGUUGCUGAGAUUCUGGAACUAGGUCCAAUAUUUACCAAGACAUAGCAUGCUGAGUAUAAGACUGAACUAGAAAGCAACAAGGAAUGUUGAAACCACAUGAGACAGACGGGUUGAAAUUUUCAAAGAAUCUAAUGUCAUGCAUAAGUUUAUGUAUGAAGGAAUCACUAAUUAGAAGUGCUCAUGGACUGUCAUAAGCACAGCCACUAAUGUAGUCAACCCAGUCAGCCAGCUCGAGCCAGAUAAUCAUUACAUUGUUCAACUUGGGAGCUUGUAAGGUUAGGACAAGCUCUGUACCAAAUUGAUGCAAGACAUGCUCGGGAGGCAGGGAGAUUAGGAUGCUUCUGAUACCAAAUUGAUGCAGGAUGGAAAAAGAAGGAGGAGGAGAAAGAACAAGGGAGGAGGAAAGAGAAGAAGAAGAUGGAGGAGAAGAAGGCAGAGGGAGAGAGCAACUCAAUAUAUUGUAUUCUUAAAUCUCAAUAAUGCAAACUAUAUUCUCAAUUAACAUAGCAAUGAGUUUAUAUAGAUAA